rnacentral:lncRNA from 1 species
AUAUUUCUGUUCUUUAAGUCACUUAGUCUGUGGUUCUUUGUUAUGGGAGCCUCGUAAACGAACAGGUUAGAGGUUGUCUUGUCCCAUAAGGACUGUCUUUGGUUUACCAGGCUGCCAGAACCCGUUGAGGACAAAGAACCGGUGUGGCCUGAUGCUUCCAGAAGAGGAAGGAGUCCUUCAUCAUUGGGCCUGUGGACCCUGGGGUCUCUAGGAUGGCCCUGGGGAAAGCGAGAGGGCCAGCCAGACUCCCAGCCGAGCACCCCUGGGAGGCCGCCAGCCGGGAGCAGACGUCUGCAUCUCUGGGGCCAGAGGCUUAGCAUCCCCUCCCUCCACCUGACCCCGGCAGCUCCAG